rnacentral:lncRNA from 1 species
UGGAAGACAGCAUCCUCGGCAAGUGGGCGCUGGUAUCCCUGUGUUGUCAGCUGAGCCAGCCCACAUGCCGCGUGCAGAGCCUCGAGACAAGUAACUUUUCCCUUUGCUGUGAGACUGGGAUUUUCUUUGAGGUGUUCACCAGUAACCCAAACCUGCAACACCUGAGCAUGACCUGCAUCCAGC